UGGGGGGUGGUGUAACCGGUAGCACGGCAGGUUUUGGUCCUGUAAGAGCGGGUUCGAGUCCUGCCUCCCCAGCAA
rnacentral:tRNA from 1 species